AGAUUGUUAAAUUGUGUUAAAAUGUUUAGCAACCACCAUUAUAUUUUGUUCUAAACACUGAACACAUUACGGUGCUGUACAGUUGUACAGCUGUACAGUUGUACAUAAUGAAGACUCUUUUACACGUUUUCCUUCUCAUACUCCCAGGAGCAUAUUCUUCUCUUGUUCCAUUCAAUACAGUUCCAUCCUUACUUUCUCAUAGUCGGGAGAAGAGACAGGGAUUUAACAGAAAGGGUGUGGAGGAAGGAUGUAAAACUACCGGAUAUGAAACCAGGUUCAGAGAAUUAUGCCA